rnacentral:tRNA from 1 species
GGGGCUGUGGCCCAGUGGUAGAGCACUUGCCUCACUCACAUCCAGGAGGCCCUAGGUUCAAUUCCUAGUACCACCU